rnacentral:rRNA from 1 species
AGAGUUUGAUCCUGGCUCAGACGAACGCUGGCGGCGUGCUUAACACAUGCAAGUCGAACGAUGAAGCCCUUCGGGGUGGAUUAGUGGCGAACGGGUGAGUAACACGUGGGCAAUCUGCCCUGCACUCUGGGACAAGCCCUGGAAACGGGGUCUAAUACCGGAUAACACUUCCUUCCGCAUGGGAGGAGGUUGAAAGCUCCGGCGGUGCAGGAUGAGCCCGCGGCCUAUCAGCUUGUUGGUGGGGUGAUGGCCUACCAAGGCGACGACGGGUAGCCGGCCUGAGAGGGCGACCGGCCACACUGGGACUGAGACACGGCCCAGACUCCUACGGGAGGCAGCAGUGGGGAAUAUUGCACAAUGGGCGAAAGCCUGAUGCAGCGACGCCGCGUGAGGGAUGACGGCCUUCGGGUUGUAAACCUCUUUCAGCAGGGAAGAAGCGAAAGUGACGGUACCUGCAGAAGAAGCGCCGGCUAACUACGUGCCAGCAGCCGCGGUAAUACGUAGGGCGCAAGCGUUGUCCGGAAUUAUUGGGCGUAAAGAGCUCGUAGGCGGCUUGUCACGUCGGAUGUGAAAGCCCGGGGCUUAACCCCGGGUCUGCAUUCGAUACGGGCAGGCUAGAGUGUGGUAGGGGAGAUCGGAAUUCCUGGUGUAGCGGUGAAAUGCGCAGAUAUCAGGAGGAACACCGGUGGCGAAGGCGGAUCUCUGGGCCAUUACUGACGCUGAGGAGCGAAAGCGUGGGGAGCGAACAGGAUUAGAUACCCUGGUAGUCCACGCCGUAAACGUUGGGAACUAGGUGUUGGCGACAUUCCACGUCGUCGGUGCCGCAGCUAACGCAUUAAGUCCCCGCCUGGGGAGUACGGCCGCAAGGCUAAAACUCAAAGGAAUUGACGG